rnacentral:rRNA from 1 species
GACGAACGCUGGCGGCGUGCUUAACACAUGCAAGUCGUGCGGUAAGGCCCUUUCGGGGGUACACGAGCGGCGAACGGGUGUGUAACACGUGAGCAACCUGCCCUUCACUUUGGGAUAACUGCCGGAAACGGUGGCUAAUACCGGAUAUGACUUCCUCACGCAUGUGGGGUGGUGGAAAGCCUUCGGGUGGUGGGGGAUGGGCUCGCGGUCUAUCAGCUUGUUGGUGGGGUGAUGGCCUACCAAGGCUUCGACGGGUAGCCGGCCUGAGAGGGUGACCGGCCACACUGGGACUGAGACACGGCCCAGACUCCUACGGGAGGCAGCAGUGGGGAAUAUUGGACAAUGGGCGAAAGCCUGAUCCAGCAACGCCGCGUGAGGGAUAACGGCCGUCGGGUUGUAAACCUCUUUCGCCUGCGACGAAGCGAGAGUGACGGUAGCAGGUAAAGAAGCACCGGCCAACUACGUG